UUCUGUGAGAAUUGACAGAUUAAGAGCUCUUUCGUGAUUCGGUGGAUUGUUGUGCAUGUCCGUUCUUAGUUGGUGGAGCGAUUUGUCUGGUUAAUUCGGAUAACGAACGAGACUCUAGCCUAUUAAAUAGGUGCGUGGUUUCUCUGCACCUUGCACCCUUCUAGAAGGGACAAGCUGCUCCUAGCCACACGAAACAGGGCAAUAACAGGUCUGUGAGGCCCUUAGAU
rnacentral:rRNA from 1 species